rnacentral:lncRNA from 1 species
UAGUUUGGCUUUUUUCUUCUAUAAAAAGGCUCCAAUCUUCAUUGUUUCAUAAGCUUAACCUUCCCAAAUCAUUCUUGAUUAUAUUUGAGCCUUGGAAGAGUGUUUUUGAGUGCACCAUUGUUUCAUAACUUGUAUAUCUUUAGUGCACCAUUCAAUCCUAGUUUUUCUUGUAUCUUUGAGCCUAAAGUUCUAUUACUAGGAUUUUUGUGAGAUCAUUAUUUGUAUAUCUUUGUGAGAAAUUUUCUCAAGUCAGGGGUAUCACUUGAGAGGUUGUUCAAGAGAGGGAUAUCUCUUGAAGAAGUGUAAAGGGUGCUUG